AGCUCUUCUGCCUGCUUCCUUCUUGGCCUCAGCAUUGUAACCCCUCCUUCUCAGCAUCGCGGAUUCCCCUCUGCCUCGCUGCUGACUCUUUACCCGCGUUCUCGUCCACAUUCUUCUCUUCACCUGGUGAACAGUUUUUUAAAUUUUCCUUGCCAAACUCUCUAUUAGUUUCUGGUCUUUUCCUUGCUGAUUUAUAAGACUCUUUAUAUACUAAGAAAACAGGUAAGUUGACCACAAUGUCAUUCACAGCUCCUGGGCUCUAGCCAGUUCUUAGAAAUGUCUCUUCCACUCCAAUAUUAUUUUAAAAUCCAAACAUUUCUUCUUUCAUACUUCUAGGACUUUCUGUUUUAUGUUUACAUUUUUAAUCAAUCAAGAGUUUGUUUUGCUGUAGGGUGUCAGAUGUAGAGGGCUUCCCUGGUGGCCCAGUGGUAAAGAAUCUACCCAUCAGUGCAGGAGACUCAUGUUUGAUCCCUGGGUCGGGAAAACCCCUGGAGCAGGAAACAGCAACCCACUCCAGGAUGGUUGCCUAGAGAAUUCCAUGGACAAAGGAUCCUGGUUCAGUUCAGUUAAGUCGCUCAGUCAUGUCCGACUCUUUGUGACCCCAUAAAUCGCAGCACGCCAGGCCUCCCUGUCCAUCACCAACUCCCAGAGUUCGCCCAAACCCACGUCCAUCGAGUCGGUGAUGCCAUCCAGCCAUCUCAUCCUCUGUCGUCCCCUUCUCCUCUUGCCCCCAGUCCCUCCCAGCAUCAGAGUCUUUUCCAAUGAGUCAACUCUUCACAUGAGGUGGCCAAAGUACUGGAGUUCCAGCUUUAGCAUCAUUCCUUCCAAAGAAAUCCCAGGGCUGAUCUCCUUCAGAAUGGACUGGUUGGAUCUCCUUGUAGUCCAAGGGACUCUCAAGAGUCUUCUCUAAAACCACAGUUCAAAAGCAUCAAUUCUUCGGCGCUCAGCUUUCUUCACAGUCCAACUCUCACAUCCACACAUGACCACUGGAAAAACCAUAGCCUUGACUAGAUGAACCUUUGUUGGCAAAGUAAUGUCUCUGCUUUUGAAUAUGCUAUCUAGGUUGGACAUAACUUUCCUUCCAAGGAGUAAGUGUCUUUUAAUUUCAUGGCUGCAGUCACCAUCUACAGUGACUUUGGAGCCCAGAAAAAUAAUGUCUGACACUGUUUGCACUGUUUCCCCAUCUAUUUCCCAUGAAGUGAUGGGACUGGAUGCCAUGAUCUUAGUUUUCUGAAUGUUGAGCUUUAAGCCACCUUUUACACUCUCACUUUCAUCAAGAGGCUUUUUAGUUCCUCUUCACUUACUGCCAUGAGGGUAGUGUCAUCUGCAUAUCUGAGGUUAUUAAUAUUUCUCCCAGCAAUCUUGAUUCCAGCUUGUGCUUCUUCCAGCCCAGGGUUUCUCAUGAUGUACUCUCAGAUCAUCUGCAUAUAAGUUAAAUAAACAGGGUGACAAUAUACAGCCUUGACGUACUCCUUUUCCUAUUUGGAACCAGUCUGUUGUUCCAUGUCCAGUUCUAACUGUUGCCUCCUGACCUGCAUAUAGGUUUCUCAAGAGGCAGGUCAGGUGGUCUGGUAUUCCCAUCUCUUUCAGAGUUUUCCACAGUUGAUUGUGAUCCACACAGUCAAAGGCCUUGGCAUAGUCAAUAAAGCAGAAAUAGAUGUUUUUCUGGAACUCUCUUGCUUUUUCCAUGAUCAGGCGGAUGUUGGCAAUAUGAUCUCUGGUUCCUCUGCCUUUUCUAAAACCAGCUUGAACAUCUGGAAGUUCACGGUUCACAUAUUGCUGAAGCCUGGCUUGGAGAAUUUUGAGCAUUACUUUACUAGCAUGUGAGAUGAGUGCAAUUGUGUGGUAGUUUGAGCAUUCUUUGGCAUUGCCUUUCUUUGGGAUUGGAAUGAAAACUGACCUUUUCCAGUCCUAUGGCCACUGCUGAGAUUUUAAAAUUUGCUGGCAUAUUGAGUGCAGCACUUUCACAGCAUCAUCUUUCAGGAUUUGGAAUAGCUCAACUGGAAUUCCAUCACCUCCAGUAGCUUUGUUCGUAGUGAUGCUUUCUAAGGCCCACUUGACUUCACAUUCCAGGAUGUCUGGCUCUAAGUGAGUGAUCACACCAUCGUGAUUAUCUGGGUCAUGAAGAUUUUUUUUGUACAGUUCUUCUGUGUAUUCUUGCCACCUCUUCUUAAUAUCUUAUGCUUCUGUUAGGUCCAUACCAUUUCUGUCCUUUAUUGAGCCCAUCUUUGCAUGAAAUGUUCCCUUGGUAUCUCUAAUUUUCUUGAAGAGAUCUCUAGUCUUUCC
ensembl:lncRNA